CCCGACCCGGCUCCUACCCAGCCCCGCUCCCGGCCCGGGACCUGCCGCCGCGGGCCGUGCCGGACAGAGGCAGCGGAGGAUAAAGGACCACGGUGGACGCCUGUGCGUUGCAUACGACCUUACAGAUCCAGACCCUCAGACCGACCCUCGGAAGAGGACCAGCAGAAUGUUUUGUGGAUACUGAACCACCAAUGUCCCUAAGACGUUGGUUUGGACUUGGGAGAAGUGGGGGCCCAUUAUGGGAAUAUGGAUACAGUGUUUUUGAUGAACCAGUGCUAGGCGGAGCCUAUUAUACAAGAAACAUACGGUUAUUAGCCCUAGAUUGGCAACAUGAUAGCCUAGAGAACUGGUGGUUGGAAAAACUUUUGCCUUCUGCUAUACCCUGUAUUGAAUGUCAUACCACUGACCACCAGUCCUGGGUACUGUGUCAAUGUAAGGCGUGUGACAAAAAGUGGUACUGUGCCUCUUCUCGAAGACGAGAAUUUUGUAGAAUUUGUGACCCACGAGAACGAGUGCUCCCACUUAGGGAAGCUAACAUAGUAGCCUUAGUGUGUGGAAAGAAAAGGCUGGUUCCUGAUCAGUGGGAAGUACCUGAAGAACAGUGGGAAAAGACAGUAAGAGUGUGCGAAAAAGUUGCCUAAAAACCUAAGUCAUUAUGAGCAAAGGGCAAGGUAAUCUACAGAAAACAAUACACAUUGCUUUUCUUGCAAUGCAUUCAACAAGCUAUAGACAAAGCAUUAAAGGCUGUUUUAAUUAUAAACGAAGAAGGGGGAAUUAUGGAGGUGAACAAUGUCACGUCCCUCGGGCCUGGGACAAUGGACAUUGUUGCACUAGUUGGCAGAAAGCUGUGGGAACAGUAAGCAGGAGAAGAAGACACGGAAGAAGAAGAUACAAGACUGCAAGAAGGACCUUGGUUGCUAAGAACUGUAGUUAUUUCUAUCUGUUAAAGCAUAUGCUGAAUUAUGUAGUUUGAGAGAGUAAGCAUAAGUAGAAAAUUAGCAAUUUUUCUCCUUGAAUUACCUAUUGUUCUGCCUAGGGUAUAUAAGUAUAUGCAUUCUUAAAUAAAGGUCUUUGUUUUUGCACUGGAA